rnacentral:rRNA from 1 species
GUGUCAGCCGCCGCGGUAAGACGAACCGUGCGAACGUUGUUCGGAAUCACUGGGCUUAAAGGGCGCGUAGGCGGGCUAUAAAGUCAGUGGUGAAAUCUUUCAGCUCAACUGGAAAAGUGCCGCUGAUACUGAUAGUCUCGAGGGAGGUAGGGGUCGAUGGAACUAAUGGUGGAGCGGUGAAAUGCGUAGAUAUCAUUAGGAACGCCGGUGGCGAAAGCGAUCGACUGGACCUCUUCUGACGCUGAGGCGCGAAAGCUAGGGGAGCAAACGGGAUUAGAUACCCUUGUAGUCC